AUGCAUUUCGAAAACCAUGAUGGUGAGGGCAUUGUCGACGCACCGAAAGGAAGGGGAGACAAUUACACCAACGACGAAGACGUGUUGCUAUGCAAAACUUGGUUGGAAGUGUCGAGGGAUCCAUCCGUUGGAGGUGAUCAAAGUAGAGAUGCUUAUUGGCUCCGGAUGAAAGAACACUUUGAUCUAUGCAACAUGAGUGGAAUUGACCGCUCCGAUCGAUCUCUUCGCUCCCGGUGGUCGACAAUCAACAAGGAUUGUCAACAAUGGGUGGCCGCACAAAAGGAGGUUGACAAGUUAAACCCAAGUGGCACUAAUGAUGAAGAUAUGGUAAGUGCCAUUUCAUCAUUCAUGUUCAUCGUGCUUGUUGUUGAUGUUUGUAAUGCUAACUUGUUUUGUUUUAAUGUAGUUAAAUAUUGCACAAAACUUGUUCAAAGAAGAGGAGAAGAGGACCAAGAAGGGGAAGAUCAAUAA
rnacentral:rRNA from 1 species